rnacentral:rRNA from 1 species
GACGAACGCUGGCGGCGUGCUUAACACAUGCAAGUCGAACGUGAUUUUUGUGGAAAUUCUUUCGGGAAUGGAAAUGAAAUGAAAGUGGCGAACGGGUGAGUAACACGUGAGCAACCUACCUUACACAGGGGGAUAGCCGUUGGAAACGACGAUUAAUACCGCAUGAGACCACAGAAUCGCAUGAUAUAGGGGUCAAAGAUUUAUCGGUGUAAGAAGGGCUCGCGUCUGAUUAGCUAGUUGGAAGGGUAAAGGCCUACCAAGGCGACGAUCAGUAGCCGGUCUGAGAGGAUGAACGGCCACAUUGGAACUGAGACACGGUCCAAACUCCUACGGGAGGCAGCAGUGGGGAAUAUUGCACAAUGGGUGGAACCCUGAUGCAGCGACGCCGCGUGAGCGAAGAAGGUUUUCGAAUCGUAAAGCUCUGUCCUAUGAGAAGAUAAUGACGGUAUCAUAGGAGGAAGCCCCGGCUAAAUACGUG